rnacentral:rRNA from 1 species
AGUGAACGCUGGCGGUAGGCCUAACACAUGCAAGUCGAACGGCAGCACAGUAAGAGCUUGCUCUUACGGGUGGCGAGUGGCGGACGGGUGAGGAAUACAUCGGAAUCUACUUUUUCGGGGGGGAUAACGUAGGGAAACUUACGCUAAUACCGCAUACGACCUACGGGUGAAAGCAGGGGAUCUUCGGACCUUGCGCGAUUGAAUGAGCCGAUGUCGGAUUAGCUAGUUGGCGGGGUAAAGGCCCACCAAGGCGACGAUCCGUAGCUGGUCUGAGAGGAUGAUCGGCCACACUGGAACUGAGACACGGUCCAGUCUCCUACGGGAAGCCGCAGUGGGGAAUAUUGGACAGUGGGCGCCAGCCUGAUCCAGCCAUACCGCGUGGGUGAAGAAGGCGUUCGGGUUGUAAAGCCCUUUUGUUGGGAGAGAAAAGCAGCAGGUUAAUACCCCGCUGUUCCGACGGUACCCAAAGAAUAAGCACCGGCUAACUUCGUG